rnacentral:rRNA from 1 species
UACGGGGGGAGCAAGCGUUGUUCGGAUUUACUGGGCGUAAAGGGCGCGUAGGCGGCCACUGCAAGUCGGUUGUGAAAUCUCCGGGCUUAACUCGGAAAGGUCAACUGAUACUGUGCGGCUAGAGUGCGGAAGGGGCAACUGGAAUUCUUGGUGUAGCGGUGAAAUGCGUAGAUAUCAAGAGGAACACCUGCGGCGAAGGCGGGUUGCUGGGCCGACACUGACGCUGAUGCGCGAAAGCUAGGGGAGCGAACGGG